rnacentral:rRNA from 1 species
AUUGAACGCUGGCGGCAGGCCUAACACAUGCAAGUCGAACGGUAACAGGAAGAAGCUUGCUUCUUUGCUGACGAGUGGCGGACGGGGGAGUAAUGUCCGGGAAACUGCCUGAUGGAGGGGGAUAACUACUGGAAACGGUAGCUAAUACCGCAUAACGUCGCAAGGCCAAAGAGGGGGACCUUCGGGCCUCUUGCCAUCGGAUGUGCCCAGAUGGGAUUAGCUAGUAGGUGGGGUAACGGCUCACCUAGGCGACGAUCCCUAGCUGGUCUGAGAGGAUGACCAGCCACACUGGAACUGAGACACGGUCCAGACUCCUACGGGAGGCAGCAGUGGGGAAUAUUGCACAAUGGGCGCAAGCCUGAUGCAGCCAUGCCGCGUGUAUGAAGAAGGCCUUCGGGUUGUAAAGUACUUUCAGCGGGGAGGAAGGGAGUAAAGUUAAUACCUUUGCUCAUUGACGUUACCCGCAGAAGAAGCACCGGCUAACUCCGUG